AUGUUGGCACAGCGAAGUACCCCGGUGGACGGCCCGGUAGUAGAUGAGGAUGAAGACAACCUGGAGGUGGUAGGCGAUAACUACAUACCCAGAACAUUCCUUACCCAGCAGAAGAUUAAAGAUGUCUGCCAGCUUCCAGGGGGGUCUUCUGGGAAGAACGAGGAGGAUUAUGACUCAGCUGAUACUGAUGAGAUCCUCAACUCCAGAAAAACACCCAGCGGUACCAAGCAGGACCAACUGCCCGAGGUCAGUAAAACACAAGAGAAAGCUGAGGUGAAUAAGCAAACCAACAACCUGGAAACAGACAGAACGAAAGAAAAAAAGGCUAACAAAGUCCUCCCUAAAAAGGCUGUAAAGAAAGUCUUCCCUACAAAGAAGACCCCUUCGCCAGAGAGUGAUAGUGGUGAUGGUGAGGAUGAUGACUCGAAAGAAGAGCGUGAAGAUUCCUACUCUUCAAAAGCCAAAAGGACUUAUAACGUCCUCCCUAAGAAAAAGGCUAUUGAGAAAUCCACUACUCCUUCAGAAUCUGAUGAUGAUGAUGAUGAUUCGGAAGAAGAGAGUGAUUCUGACUCUUCAAAAACCCAAAAGACCGGCAAGAAGGUUGUCUCUAAAAAGAAGACCCCUACUUCAGAAUUAUCUUCUGACGAUAGUGAAUCAUAUGAAGAUACAUCUGAGGCGAGCGCCGAUUCCGAAUACGAAGCCAUGUUUACUAACUGUCAGAGGUUAGCGUUUUCACUGGACGAUCUGCAGCAGCUGGUUAAAGAAUCGUUUUUAAAAGGUUUAGACCGGGACAGUGACGAUGACGAUCCGGGAUCUGAUUCACAACAACCUGGACCAAACCGAGUGUCUGAGGUGCUAGGGAUGGAACCCCGGGUUACUGCCCCUGAGGCUCCUGUACCGCUGGCUAAGACGGGAAAUGGCAACACACCGGAGGAGAUUCUGGCGGCCAUCUUUGAAGAGGACAACAGCGACGAGGUGAGAGAGAAGAAGAAGAAGGGGAAGAAGAAAACAAAUCCGUCAACAUCUCUUCCUGCUUUCCAGGGGACCAAGGCUCUCUUAGCCACAUCGCCACAAAGUCUAAAAAGACAAGUUGAGGAGGACGGAAAAAUUAAGACGUCCACUAAGAAACAGAAACGUGACAGAUUAGUACCGUCUAAACCCAGUGCCUCAGAGGACGACGCCAAGACUGUGUCAAAACCCUCAGACACUAAAGGCACUAAAACUCGUCCUCCUAGCAGCUCGGACAGUGAAGAUACAACCAAGUCACCAGCCCUCAGACGGAAAACGACUUUGAAAGCCGAGCCAGGGAAGAAGUCCGUCCCAGCGGCCAGCUCUACAUCCAGCAGCAGUGGGUGCUCCAGUGUGGAGUCAGAGAUGGAGGAAGAUGUACCUGCUAAAAAGACUCAGAAGGCUGAGGUCUGUUCUCUCUCUGUGCUCUCUCUCUGUUCUCUCUCUGUGCUCUCUCUCUGUGCUCUCUCUCUGUGCUCUCUCUCUGUGCUCUCUGUUCUCUCUGUUCUCUCUCUGUUCUCUCUCUCUGUUCUCUCUCUCUGUGUCUUCUCUGCUUCUCUCUCUGUGUCUCUUCUCUCUGGCUCUCUCUCUGUCACUCUCUCUGAUGCUCUUCUCUCCUGUGCUCUCUCUGUGUGCUCUUCGUCUCUGUCUAUCUCUCUCUGUGCUCUCUCUCUCUGCGCUCUCUCUCUGUCUCCUCUCUGUGCUCUCUCUGUGCUCUCUCUCUGUGCUCUCUCUGUGUGCUACUCUCUCUCUGUUCUCUCUCUGUGCUCUCUUCUCUGUGUGCCUCUCUCUCUGCUCUCUCUCUCUGUGCUCUCUCUCUGCACUCUCUUGUGCUCUCUCUCCUGUUCUCUCUCUCUGUGCUCUUCUGUGGCUCUCUCUCUCUCGUGCUCUCUCUCUGUGCUCUCUCUGUUGUGCUCUCUCUACUGUUCUCUCUCAUCUGUGCUCUCUCUCUGCUCUCUCUCUGUGCUCUCUCUCUGUGUCUCUCUCUGUGUGCUCUCUCUUGUUCUCUCUCUCUGCUGUCUCUCUCUGCGGCUCUCUCUCUGCCUCUCUCUCUGUGCUCUCUCUGUGCCUCUCCUCUGUCUACUCUCGUCUCUCUCGUCUAUGCUCUCUCUCUCUCUG
ensembl:lncRNA